rnacentral:rRNA from 1 species
AGACGGAGGGGGCUAGCGUUGUUCGGAAUUACUGGGCGUAAAGGGCGCGUAGGCGGCUUGUCAAGUUGGAGGUGAAAGCCCGGGGCUCAACCCCGGAACUGCCUUCAAGACUGGCAGGCUAGAGUUCGGGAGAGGAGCGUGGAAUUCCCAGUGUAGAGGUGAAAUUCGUAGAUAUUGGGAGGAACACCGGUUGCGAAGGCGGCUCUCUGGUCCGAUACUGACGCUGAGGCGCGAAAGCGUGGGGAGCAAACAGGAUUAGAAACCCUAGUAGUCC